rnacentral:lncRNA from 1 species
GGUGUGGUGAGUGUGUAAGUGCAUUGAGGAGGGAGUUUCUUCAUCGCAAAGAUUUGAAAAAGCAAAUGCUUAUGGUUUUGCAAUUGGAAAGCAUUGUGCAAUAGCAUAAUAGUUAGCAGAUAUAUUUUCCUCUCCUGUCACUGUAACUUGAAAGCACAAAACUUGGGGUAAAACUUUUUUGUGUGUUUUGUAACUUGAACUUACUCAUUCUGUAGUUUGGAGCUUUGCAGCUCUUCUCCCCCCCCCCCCAUUAUAUCACUUAAACUAUUCUCUACAGGCACAUACGCUGGUACUCAAAACAGGUGGAGUUGCAGAGCAGCAGCUCCCAAACCCAACCAAGUCAACAAAGACUUUUCCUUGAGGACUAUGUUGUCUUGACUGUUUCUCCUCUCCACCUCUUAUUCCUCAUUAGGAGAUCUUAUAGUAAGGUGCCAAAAUUUCAUUGACUUGUAUCUCCCCAGUAAUUUUAAAGGAAAUGGGAACAAGCUUUGCCAUUUAAAAAGCCAGGAAAUUACUGAAAUUUUUACUUGGAAUAUAAAAUCAUGGGUGGUUAUGAAUCAUGUUGACCAGAAUUUCUAUGGUAAAAGGUCACAUGGCCCCAGUUGCUAGGACUAUAGCACCACCAUGCCCAUAGAUUAGAAAUCCCCUCUAUCAUUUGGCCAGUGAAUAUUGGGAGACAUAACACUGAACCAGCUUAAUUAUGGGUUUGACAGAACACAGCAGUUCUUACAUUAAAAAAACAAAACAUCAAGCUUUAACUUACAGCUGCAUUGAUGGACCAAAUCUGCAAUUGAUUUAAAGAAGGGUAUAUUUUUAAUAACUGCAGAGUAGUCGUGUAUGUGUUGGCUAGUUUGGCUCUGUUAUGUUUCUCCUUAUGGGGAACGAAGGAUAAUACUGCAGAUGGCCUUUCCUUCCAAUCAUAAGUAGCAGCUUUCUGGAAUUAAAUUCUUUUACUACUUUCAAUGUUCUCAAAGACACCUUUAUAUUUUGGUCAUAGGUAUGCUUGAACACCAGAUAAUUGUUAAUCUAACUGCAGAUAGCUCUAGUUUCUGUAAAAAUAGAUUAAAAAUAUGCAAUGUUAACUGCCGCAGAAAUAUUCAGCAACCAUCUGUGAUUGAUCCAGGGCUCAUUUUAGCCAUGUGAAAGAAAAUACCUUCAGCAAAACUUUUAUGGAUAUUGUACAGAUGGUUUGAGAGACUUGUUGCAAAACCUAAAAUAAUAACAUAGCUCUCCAAGUUACCUACUUGCACUGUAAAUGAGAACCUCUGUUAACCAAAGAUGCUGUAGGAGCAUGACAUCCUUAAUUCUGCUGCAACAUAGUUGUGGCUACGUCAAAGUUGUGCAGAAUUAAAGACUGCAUCUUAGUGCAACUUGCCAGUUUAAGGUUAGCCUAAGCCAACUUAGACAUAUUGUAUUCAUAGGGCAUGUUCAAGCCAUCCGCAAGGUUGUCACUAGCAAUUCAUUUGUAGAAGGGCUUUUAAAGAGUUUGAGAGGCCCACUCCUCAAGUCCAAAGACAACUGCCAUCAACUGUAAUCAUGACCAUCGUAUAUUUGUCCUGCCUUUGGGAAGGCUAGCUACUGUUCCUCUAUGAACUGUUUUCAGUUCUGGGACCUGACUGUAGUGUACCAGACAUUGCUUGGUAUUCUCCAUUUCUCCACUAUUAAAAUGGCACCCUUCAGGAAACCUCUGUUUUAUUUGAUUUUCAGCUAACAUUAUUACAAAGAGAGAGUGAUGUGCUUGCAUUGUGCAAAGUAUGUCCUUCCAAUUUCUCCUCAGUAACCUUGUGAAGCAGGCCAGUGCUGCUACAAUUUGAUAUAGAUGGAAAUGAGCUGAAAAUUAGUGACUUGACUGAGGAGUUUGUGGAAGAACCAAGUAGAAAUGAGUAUGUGUUGCCCCAGCAUAGACAGAAAAAUAGGCAAGAUGAAUAAACCUUUCCAAGUAUCCUACUUGCAUAUAUGUACAACUUGGGCCUAAAUUUGUUUUCAUUUGAAAUAAAUAGAUCAAGAGUUGUUAUGCAGCCAAACUGGUCUGCAGUCCACUAGGUUUAACUUAACAGACUUGUGCUGGCUAGAAGCUUAUGGCAACAUUAACAUCUGAAGAGACAGAUUCCUCCAUAUGUUCUUAUUUGUUUCUGGAACUUUAAAAUGACCCAGCCAUGUGUUUGGGGUGAAGCGUGUGCUAAAUUUUCUUUCACUCCAAGAGCUAAAUUAAUUUCGUGCCAAGUUCUGCUCUUGAAAGCAAGAAAAUCGACUCGGCCAUAGUGUAGGGGUGUGUGGGUUUUUCCCUCUAUUCUGAAGAACACAAUGAUUGGCUUCAAGAUUGGAAAUUUCUGCUGAAGGCUAUAUUUUAUGGUUUGAAUCUAAAGUCAUUUUGUAGCUGAAAGCUGCUGAACUGUUGUGGUCUCACUGCAACUGUAAUCCUAAUUUCAAAAGGUGGAAUAAAUUCAAUUUCUGGCAACAUGCCAUUAGGCCAUGCCCUUCUAAAUAAAAUUUCACCAACAGUCUCUGAAAAAAGUCUUGGCUUCAUACUUUUUUCUCAGUGAAUGUCAAUAAAUGGUCAUUAUUUGACAUCUGCUCUGCAUCAUAAUAAUAGUUUUUAAAAUUUCUAUACCGCCCUUCAUCCAAGAAUCACAGGGCAGCUUACAACAUAAAAUCACAAAAAUACAUACCAUAGGAACAAACAAAACCAAUAGUCCCUCCAUAGUUCAAAAGGCCAUAAUUGUUUAAUUAGUAAGUACAGUAAGACCUUUGAAUGGAAUGAAGUUUAAGAGAUAUAUUAACCCUCCUGCAUGUGGUUAGUAAAAUCACUCUUGUAUCUGAUAGUGGACCCAGACACAGUUCCACUUCUAAUGUGAAUCUGAUUUUAGCCUGGCCAGUUCCUGGGAAAGGGAGUCGACAAUAAACCCUUUAACUCUCAACUAGAAAGAGGACAAGGUCCACCAUUGCAAACAGCUACCAUUAGCCACACCAUGCCAGCUAUUUGAUUAAGUCAGCUAGGUGCAUUCAUCGUUACAAGAUAUUUUGCAAUGCUAAUUAAACUUCUAAGGUAAGACUGGAGGACCUGUAGUUCUUCAGGUGUUGUUGGACUCCCAAAUCCCAUCAUCCCUGACCGCUGGACAUCUGAAGUCCAAGUGCAUCAGUGGGGUGGGGGGUGGGGCACAGAUUCCCCUUAAGGAAUAACUUGGAGCAGGGUGGUUAGUAGUUGGAGUUUCAAAUUUAUUUAUUUUUUAAUAGAAAACUAUAUCCUACACAGAAUUAAUAGAAGACAACCAUGGUCUUUCAUGUCCUCUUUCACCUACCCCCCCUCUGCCCUGCUAUGAUUAACAUAUCUUCUCGAACAGACCUGCUCUCUGUCCCAUCUGGAAACAUUAUGGCAAAGACUGACAAUUGGUUCAGCAUGUCUUACUAAGCAGAUUUCAGUGGCACUCUUCUACUGUCCAGCUUUUGGAACUGAUAUGGUACAAAAGCCUUCUCCAAAAGUGGCAGUUUUUAACGUUUUAAUAGAUGUCUCAAGUUGGGUUUCCAGAGUCUUCAGCUGUCCUUGUGUGCUGCUUUUGUCAUGGCUAUGGCAGCUGAAAUCCUUGCCCUGAUACCUUUGCAAAGAAUGUAAGCACCAACUGUACUUGUGCACUAAGUUAAAGCAUGUGUGAAAGCUUUACAACUUAUUUAGAGUACCUUGCAGAGUUCAGGAGCCCUAUAUCUUUUUACAUCAGACUUGAUAAAAGGGCCUUUAUGUUUAGAAAGCUUGCCUGUUAAUAUUGCACAGCCAGGCUACCAGACUUCAAUAUAAUUCCCAAGGCGUCUUGAAUAAUAACUGCCUCUCUGGGUGUCUUGGUUUGGAUCGAGAGACGAAAAGGAAAGCACACAGGAACAAGUGUCUCUGGUGCACAAACCAAAGCCAAAAACAUCUAUCUCUGAUUUGCUGGAAAUUUAGAUGUUCCUUACCAUGAGCCAGCCAAGGACUGGAACUGAGCCACAUCAGUGUAAGUAUUCCUGAGAAACAUGUUGAAGCCUCUAUAAUAGAUAAAACAUGGAAUGGCAGAACUGAUUUGAAGUCUGCAGAUCGACAUCAUUUAUUAUUUUUGGCUGGUGAGCAAGUAGUGUCAUUAAAUAUGCAUAGAAUUUAGCGAAAGACUUUUAACAUGUCUGCCUUCUCAGUCUGUGCACUAGUUGCUCGUGAGAUAUAACCUACGUUAGUCAACUGAGGCUGUUGGUUGGAUAUGCUCAGUACUUAACUGAGUUUGCAUUUCAGUUAUACAUAGUAGUAAUACCCCACUUGCUUUGGUCUAGUGUUUCUCCAUGCGGCAUCAAAAAGAAUUAACACUUCAGACAUUUUUGUUUCACCUGAUUGCGACUGUCCCACAGGCCCUUUAUACAUGGCCCCAAAAGAGGAAACAAGUCUCACACUUGUGUGUGAAAGAGGACAAAACUGGGCCAUGACUUUGACUAAAUAGAUGCAUAUGCUCAUCUACAUGAGCAGAUACUAUAAUUUAAUUUAAAUACAAUCCAUUUCUCCAUAGCAGGAGAAGAGUGUGGGCAGGUGCCAGCACAGAAUCCUAUACAAAUGCUAACUAUUCAAGGCCUCUAGUCGCCCUUCUUUGUCUUGAAAGCUGGCACAAACGAGACAACCCUUCAAGAGGACUGCCCUCUGUGAAGUAGGAAAUAUGGCCACCCUACUAGCUUUCAGUUCCUUCAUCAGUUGAAGGUUUGUUUGCCGAAGAAACAGGAGCCACGCAAUGACAAAGAAUGAAGCAUUCUCUGCUUACGAACACUCUUCUCUUAUUUCAAAUGUACAAAAUUUGAGAUCCAGUCCAAACGAAAGCAAGCUUAGUGGGCAGGAUUUGGCCCAGGGGGGCUCCCAUUCUUGAUCCCUAGUCUAUGACCCCCUGAUUAUGGCCUCUUGCUUAGAGCAUAUUCCUUACCAUGUCUGCUCAGGUCCUAUUGAAUUCACUGGGGUUUACUUCCAGGUAGGGAUGGGGUAGAUGGCCAAUUCAGUUCACAUUUAAAGGUGAAUCAAAUAUCAAAUUCAAAAUUUCCAAAACCAUGCAAAAACCAAAACACACAGUUAUCCUUUGAAAUUUGCACUCCUCUGAAUUUUAUGAUGUAGCUCUCCAACCAAUUUUUACAAAAAAAAUCAAAUAUUAGGGGAAAGUGUGCAUAAAAAUAUGUUGGUGAAAAUUAUAUACCAAAAUGCAUUUUAUUGGGGAAAACUUGCAAAAAUGUGUACAUUACAAAAAAGUGUCUGUUAGAACAAUUUCACACUGAAAUGCUGAUGAAUUUUCAUGAGGUUUUUAAAAAAAGUUUUCUAAUUACUGCAGAAAUGAGAAACAGAGAGAACCAAAAUCGACAAAUCUUCUCAUCCUUACUUUCAGGUAGGUGGUGUUAGGAUUGCAGCCUGAGUCCACUAAAUGGGUAGGUGAACAUUAGGGUGCAAGAGAGAAAGAGGCCACAACAUUUUCUACUUUCUACAAGCAUUUGGAAGAAGAAUGACUUCUGUUCUGUGGCAGACCUAGUUGUGUUAGGAUUUUAGUCAUUCUUUUGAGCUGGAGAUAGAUUUUAGACAUUCUUUGGACUAGAGAUAGUUGCAGCCUCUCUCCCCAGUUUUUAAAAAUCACAUGCAAUCUCCUGCUUGCAGGUCAGCAGCAGUGAUAAAAACCCACCAUCUGGUCAUGUCUGAAGUAAAUAUUUAAGAAAACUAAAUGCUAUAUAUCAUUAACUGGGCUGAGAACUUGCACAACCAGAUUUAAUCUAGGUACCUCAAAGAGAGCCAGCAUUUGAAGAUCCAUCUCAUUAGUACCUCUGGUGAACUGAAUCAGGCUCCAUUUCAUUUUUGUGUCUAUCACGACGUAGGAAUUGAUUAGACUAGCUAGAAAAGCUGUCACCGUGCAAACAAAGAAAUGGGCUGAACUGGCACAAGUACAGGAUAUGUGAAAAUCCACUGCGUCGUUCAAUUACAUUAGCAAAGAAAGCAAACUUGCAAGAGUUGCGAUUUUUUGACAUCACUCUAGCAUACCCCUAUGCACCUUUCCCUGGUUAUAAAUUAUCUUAUUUCAUCAAAUUUAUAUCUUCAGUGCAGGAAUAUGCUUGAAUGAAAUUCUUUUCUUCUUGCACAGCUGAUUACACAAUAUUUAAACUAUUUCAAAAUAUACUCAGGCAAGGAUGCAAUAUACCAGACCCACAUUUUAAAAGCAGAUGCAACCCCCUCUUAUGUCAAGUUUGGUCCUGAUUGCCAUGACAUUAAGCAGUUGGCUGGCCCUUGUAUUUUGGUUUGCUAAAUAGCAGCCAAGGGUCUUGAUCCAAAUUGCUGCUGUUUAAGAACCAGCAAGAUGCACUGCUACUGGGGUGUUCCAGAUCAUAGCCUGCAUGUGUACAAUACAUUGCUAAGGUAUAAGAAUAUGGAUGCAGGGGCGGAGGAAGGGGGUGCGGUGGAAGCGGUCCACCCUGGGUGUCACCACUGAGGGGGGUGACAAAAUGCUGGCCAGCACUCACUGCGGGGCCUGCGGUGCGCCCGAGCCACGUGUCUCUCCUGGGAGUGGCGUGGUGGCUUGGGCAACCACAGGCUCUGCGCUGCCCAAAUGGUCCACCCACUGCCUCCCCUCCCAGCUGUGGGGCGGCUGAGUGGGAGGCAGGCAGACUCCAAGGCCCUGCGGAGCAUCCUGCCCCAGCUGGCCCUGCCCCUGCCCAGGUGCCCGAUCAACUUGCUCCGCCACUGCAUGGAUGACCAGACACAGGAGAGAGGGGCCGCUGCUGGUACCUCAGCUGGUGGAAGGCUCUACAUGUCACGGUAGCCAGUUGGGUGUGUUAGAUCAGCAAGCACUCACAAACUACAAAGGGAACUUUUUUAAAUUGCAAAACUGCUCUAGAGAUUGGUGGGAGAGUGGGACAGAUGUAAAAUGUGGGCAGGGUAAUUGGCAUGUAUCUUACCUUUAGACACCCUGCCUGCCGUGGGCAGUUGAGAAGGGAUGCCAGCAUUAAGAGCUUUAGAGUCCCUAAGCACUUAAUAGAUUGUGGUGCACCCAUACCUACCUGCUUACCUACCUACCUAGCUACCUACCUCUCUCUAUGACAUUUUACCAGUUACCAGAAUCUAAUUUUGUUGUAUUUCCAAGAUUAAAGCAUAUUAUAUUAUUU